UACGAGGGGGGCGAGCGUUGUUCGGAAUUAUUGGGCGUAAAGAGCUCGUAGGCGGUUCAGUAAGUCGGGUGUGAAAACUCUGGGCUUAACCCAGAGCCGCCACUCGAUACUGCUGUGACUUGAGUUCGGUAGGGGAGCAGGGAAUUCCUAGUGUAGCGGUGAAAUGCGCAGAUAUUAGGAGGAACACCGGUGGCGAAGGCGCUGCUCUGGGCCGAUACUGACGCUGAGGAGCGAAAGCGUGGGUAGCAAACAGG
rnacentral:rRNA from 1 species